rnacentral:rRNA from 1 species
GCAUUGCCGGGUAGCUACGUACGGAACCGAUAACCGCUGAAAGCAUCUAAGCGGGAAGCGGGCCCAAAGAUGAGUUCUCACUGGAACUUUAAGUUCCUUGUAGGUCCGUCGAAGACUACGACGUUGAUAGGCAGGGUGUUGAAGCGCAGCAAUGUGUGAAGCUAACCUGUACUAAUUGACCGUAAGGCUUGACCAUAUAACCCCAAG